rnacentral:snoRNA from 1 species
GUGGAUGAUGACCGGAGUAGCUUCUGACUUUGUGAUGAAAGAUGGGCGAGCUGACA